rnacentral:rRNA from 1 species
UACGAAGGGUGCAAGCGUUACUCGGAAUUACUGGGCGUAUAGCGUGCGUAGGUGGCUUGUUAAGUCUGAUGUGAAAGCCCUGGGCUCAACCUGGGCAUUGCAUUGGAUACUGGCAGGCUAGAGUGCGGUAGAGGAUGGCGGAAUUCCCGGUGUAGCAGUGAAAUGCGUAGAGAUCGGGAGGAACAUCUGUGGCGAAGGCGGCCAUCUGGACCAGCACUGACACUGAGGCACGAGAGCGUGGGGAGCAAACCGG